AUGAGAUUUCUGUGUACUCUUUGAAGUAUAUCCACAUUGGAGAAGUCUUCUGAGAAAAUUUCUGUGAACAUCUGAUCCUGGGGCUGAGGAAAACUUACUGCACAGUAAUCUCUACUUUCAUAUUACAUCAUAGGAAUUUGCUGCAGUUAAGGCAUUGUCUCCAUGAAGCCAGUGAACAAAUGGGCUGGCAAGGAAUUGACAUCUGCUACCAAGGAAAGAGCUGGAAGUGUGCCUAGUCCCUGUGAUAUAAAGG